rnacentral:rRNA from 1 species
UACGAAGGGGGCUAGCGUUGCUCGGAAUCACUGGGCGUAAAGCGCACGUAGGCGGAUUUCUAAGUCGGGGGUGAAAUCCUGGAGCUCAACUCCAGAACUGCCUUCGAUACUGGAAGUCUUGAGUCCGGGAGAGGUGAGUGGAACUGCGAGUGUAGAGGUGAAAUUCGUAGAUAUUACGCAAGAACACCAGUGGCGAAGGCGGCUCACUGGCCCGGUACUGACGCUGAGGUGCGAAAGCGUGGGGAGCAAACAGG